GAUGAAGAACGUAGCGAAAUGCGAUACGUAAUGUGAAUUGCAGAAUUCAGUGAAUCAUCGAAUCUUUGAACGCAUAUUGCGCUCUCUGGUAUUCCGGAGAGCAUGCUUGUUUGAGUAUCAGUAAACACCUCAACUUCCAUAUCUUUUUUGAAAUUGGAGUUGGACUUGAGUGAUCCCAACGCUUUUCCUCACCGAAAAGUGGCGGGUUACUUGAAAUGCAGGUGCAGCUGGACUUUUCUCUGAGCUAUAAGCAUAUCUAUUUAGUCUGCCUAAAAACAGAUUAUUACCUUUGCUGCAGCUAACAUAAAGGAGAUUAGUUCUUGUGCUGACUGAUGCAGGAUUCACAAAGACAGGCUUCGGCCGACUUUGUAAACUCGAUCUCAAAUCAAGUAAGACUACCCGCUGAACUUAAGCAUAUCAAUAAGCGGAGGA
rnacentral:misc_RNA from 1 species